rnacentral:rRNA from 1 species
GGCUUAACACAUGCAAGUCGAGGGGCAGCACGGGUAGCAAUACCUGGUGGCGACCGGCAAACGGGUGCGGAACACGUACACAAUCUACCUUUAUCUGGGGUAUAGCCCGAAGAAAUUCGGAUUAAUCCCCCAUAAGAUAUUAGAGUGGCAUCACUUAGAUAUUAAAACUCCGGUGGAUAAAGAUGAGUGUGCGUCCCAUUAGCUAGUUGGUAGGGUAACGGCCUACCAAGGCAACGAUGGGUAGCUGGUGUGAGAGCACGACCAGCCACACGGGCACUGAGACACGGGCCCGACUCCUACGGGAGGCAGCAGUGAGGAAUAUUGGUCAAUGGACGCAAGUCUGAACCAGCCAUGCCGCGUGAAGGAUGAAGGCCUUCUGGGUUGUAAACUUC